CGACGUGGAUAACCUGCCUCACACUGGGGGAUAGCAGUUAGAAAUGACUGCUAAUACCGCAUAAGCGCACAGCACCGCAUGGUACAGUGUGAAAAACUCCGGUGGUGUGAGAUGGAUCCGCGUCUGAUUAGCCAGUUGGCGGGGUAACGGCCCACCAAAGCGACGAUCAGUAGCCGACCUGAGAGGGUGACCGGCCACAUUGGGACUGAGACACGGCCCAA
rnacentral:rRNA from 1 species